rnacentral:rRNA from 1 species
CGUAGGGUGCGAGCGUUAAUCGGAAUUACUGGGCGUAAAGCGUGCGCAGGCGGUUUGUUAAGAUAGGCGUGAAAUCCCCGGGCUCAACCUGGGAACUGCGCUUAUGACUGGCAAGCUAGAGUACGGCAGAGGGGGUGGAAUUCCACGUGUAGCAGUGAAAUGCGUAGAGAUGUGGAGGAACACCAAUGGCGAAGGCAGCCCCCUGGGUCGAUACUGACGCUCAUGCACGAAAGCGUGGGUAGCAAACAGGAUUAGAUACCCUGGUAGUCCACGCCCUAAACGAUGUCAACUAGGUGUUGGGAGGGUAAAACCUUUUAGUACCGGAGCUAACGCGUGAAGUUGACCGCCUGGGGAGUACGGCCGCAAGAAUG